GAUGAACGCUGGCGGCGUGCCUAAUACAUGCAAGUCGAGCGAACGGACGAGGAGCUUGCUCCUCUGACGUUAGCGGCGGACGGGUGAGUAACACGUGGAUAACCUACCUAUAAGACUGGGAUAACUUCGGGAAACCGGAGCUAAUACCGGAUAAUAUAUUGAACCGCAUGGUUCAAUAGUGAAAGACGGUUUUGCUGUCACUUAUAGAUGGAUCCGCGCCGCAUUAGCUAGUUGGUAAGGUAACGGCUUACCAAGGCAACGAUGCGUAGCCGACCUGAGAGGGUGAUCGGCCACACUGGAACUGAGAAACGGUCCAGACUCCUACGGGAGGCAGCAGUAGGGAAUCUUCCGCAAUGGGCGAAAGCUUGACGGAGCAACGCCGCGUGAGUGAUGAAGGUCUUCGGAUCGUAAAACUCUGUGAUUAGGGAAGAACAAAUGUGUAAGUAACUAUGCACGUCUUGACGGUACCUAAUCAGAAAGCCACGGCUAACUACGUG
rnacentral:rRNA from 1 species